UACGAAGGGGGCUAGCGUUGUUCGGAAUUACUGGGCGUAAAGCGCGCGUAGGCGGUCAUGUAAGUCAGGGGUGAAAUCCCAGAGCUUAACUCUGGAAUGGCCUUUGAGACUGCAUGGCUAGAGAACGGGAGAGGUGAGUGGAAUUCCCAGUGUAGAGGUGAAAUUCGUAGAUAUUGGGAAGAACACCGGUGGCGAAGGCGGCUCACUGGCCCGUUUCUGACGCUGAGGCGCGAAAGCGUGGGGAGCAACAGG
rnacentral:rRNA from 1 species